GCUUGUGAUGCAAAUGCAAGAAGGGUAUCUCCUGAUGCUUAAUCAGUUUCAGCAGUAAGUUAUAUUGACUUUGAAUAAUAAAUAAAUAGUCCUUGGAUUGCAUGAGGGGGUUAGAUCACAAAACUCAGUGAUGUCAAGAAGUUUGAUAUAGCUAAAGCUGAACUUGAAGAAAUAGUUCACUCGUAUGAGAUCCCAACGUGAACUUUUAUCAAUUAGGUUCAAACUCCAUCUGGAAGUACCUACACUAUGUAGUUGUUACUUUGCUAUGUGGAAUGAUUACAGACUUGAAUAUCAUGUCUCAUUAAUGUUGAUUUGGGAUGAUUUUGUGUACUUAUCUUGAUUACAGACUUUGUUACUUUGCUAUGUGGAAUGAUUACUGACUGAAUAGAGUAAACCAUGUAGAAGCUUCUCUGAAAUUAUAUGUACCGAAAUUAACCAAUUUUAUUAAAAAAAUCAAAAUUGUACAUUCUUCCAAGUGUAUGUACUUCCUUUAAGACCAGAUUUUUUUGCAGAGCUAAAAACAGCCAGAAUAAAUUUAUCAUUUACAUUAUCAUGGAAUCUGUCUUGUUUUUAGUUUUUAUGCACAUGAUACAACUUAAUGAAGUUGAUUCCCUUCUUUCACUCUAAGUAGCGUAUGUGGUCAGCUAGCUUGAAGUAACAAUGUUUAGUAAUAUGUUGAACAAAUACAGGAACCAUUUUGCCCUACUAUGUUCGGCUUGCUGAGGCAAGAAGCCUUAACAUGGAAAGGACUCCCGCCAACCUCUUGACACUGAUAGUUCAUCCAUCUGUUGAGCGAGAGGAGCCGUGGGCGGCCGUUAAUUGAAGAGUUGAGGGAAGAAAUUUGUAUUUGGUCCGGAUAAUCAUGCCAAAGUGAUGCAUUGUACAUAAGAUUGGACGAUGACAGUGAGAGUCCAUUACAUAUCUGUAUGGGGCACUCUUUGCCAGAUUCGAAGCUCAAGCGGUAUGUGUUUAUGUUGUACAUUCGUAUUUAUAUUGAUAUGCUGAACUCAUACGCACACAAGUUCACAAUAUAUGAUGUACGCAGGCUCUUUUAAACUAUUAGGCAUACCACUAUAAGUCCAACUCGUCUUAUCCUGUUUGUAUAUACACUCAAUUACUAUCUUAAUUGAUGCGGCCAAAAAAUGAAAAUCCGGUUGAUGAGAGCAGAGUAGAAAGCUAUUAUCAAAGAAAAGGUUGGAAGUCUAUUAAAUUGGAUGCAGAAGCUCAAGCUCACAUUGAGAAGCAUAGGUACACCCCUCUGUUUGCAAUGUUUCUUGCACCUAAGUCUGGCUUAAUGCUCUCGUCAUACACUAUACGGGAAAUCAGCUUAUCAAUCAAUUCUUUGACUGGUCUCCCCGAGUUGUUGUUAUUAAAGUGAAACUGUCAUCAGUCAUAUGUUCCUUCUCUAAAUGUUUAAAACUGAAGCAUGAAAAGGUCAAGGUUGUACAAGAUGAACACAUGAAUGUACUUUCUACCCUCUUACUGUGUUGGAUCUACUAACUGCGCAGGAAGCUGCAAUAAGAUUGUCACAUGAAAUGGUUCACUUAGCAUGCAGGCUGAAAGAAAGGUAGUAUGUCAAUGAACCAGUCCAUGCAAGAUGUGGAGAUCCUUGAUUCUACUGAGAGAGCCGUGGAGCAUAGCUUGGCGAGCACCGGGUGCGCAACAGCGCAAGCCUCAGAGUUACUCGCUGGCCUCCAAAAUCAGCUGCUUCCAGUGGUUGCUCCUCUUUAUGAGGACGUGCAUGUUUGUCAUGCUGGUUCUGCUCAUACGGGUCGCCUGAUGUUGUUGUGGACAAGCAGAUAACUUUAUUAUGGUGAUUACAAGUUCAUAUAUGGAAUCAAAUUUGGAGUGAGAGGACGCAAAAUGAUUUUCAUCUAUCAUAUUGUUCAUUUGUACCUAGAAGCUCCACUAUGUUCUAUCGCAUAUGCAAGAUUUUAGAGAACUUUAGAUAAACAUAUUUCUGGAGAUUAUUUUUCUGGCAAUAGUCAUGAGUUUUUGCUGCUCUUUGCUUUUUGAACAGUCACAAUUGUAAUAUGCACCAU